UUCCCUAUCAGGAGCAAGUGACUCAGGCCUGCUGUGUGUAGAAAACUGGUGUGGAGAAAUGUUGUGACGUGAGGAUGGGCCAGAAGACAGCCCCCAGACACUGGUCACACUCAGGGAUGCCUGUGGUCCCUUCUGAGCCAGCAGACAUGAAUUCAAAGAGAAAGGUUUGUGCAUUAUUACUGCAAUGAAGCUCCUUGGCUCACUCCACAUUCAAGGGCUAUUGUCUUUGACAAAGCAUCAUGCAAAGAGCAAGAGCGGCUUCUCCUGCAGCGGCUGUGGCAGGCCUUGCAAAGGAAAUGAAAACAAGCCACGAACAACUCUGUAUCAGAAUGAAGAAAAAGAAAACAAAGGGGGAAAGAAGUGAGGGCACACUGUGUCGAGGAUUAAAGGGCAAGUGCUGGGAUAACGCCAUGAGUGGAGGAGCAGGUAUAUUCUUCCUGGACCAGAAGGGAAGCUCACGUUUCAUAUGAGCUGGCACAGAGCUGGAGGAAGCUGCUUCACUGCUGCAACACUGGGCUGCCCACUGUUUGGUCCUGCUACCUCCCACUGCAUCUAUUGCUUAAUGAAACAACUGCAUGAUGAGCUGCUACCAGUACCUUCAAAGCACUUCCUCGUGGAUUUAAUCAAUCCCUACAAUGACAACAAGACAAAGUUUCACAAACGUGCAUCUGGACACGUCCCUUCAUGGCACGCCAGCACCUUGGUGAGGCUGCAGUGCAUCAUCUCUGCGCGGGACAAGGCAUGGAGCCAGAUAAUCAGUUUGGCCAUCCAAAAUGGAAAGGGGAAGAAAAGAAAGGUUUGACACGCAGUGGCAGACAUGUAAAAAUGACUACAUGCCUUCCCGAGACAAAGGUGCCUCACCACUGCAGCUCUGGCAUCCCCCAGUGCUAUUGGCAGCACUAACUCAGACCUGGACACCUGGCCCUGACUGGGGAAUGGGGUUCCCUCCUCUACCCCGUGCCAGACAUGUCCCAUUGCAGCCAGACCCUGCCCAGAGCGUGGCACUGCACUGCUCAGCCAGCAAGUCUCAUGCAGAUCACCAGACUGAAGGAGCAGUCCUAGCCCAGCAUUAACCAACCAGGCCAUUGCCAUCCAGGAGCCCUGCAUCCCAACAGCCUCAGCAAGAGCACGGCAGUGGCAACUAAAAAAUGGAAGCAGAGAAACUCGCAUCGUGGAAGAGACAGCACAGACACCCCGUUAUAUGUUCUGCCUCUGCAAGGGAGGAAUCAUGCUCCUCCAGGACUCUAAUCCCCAUCGCUAACAGCAUUAAAUAUUUAUGUACCACCACAACUUUGCAUGACACUUCACAGAGAUAAAAGUGCUAUCUCUGUGCCGAAGAUCUUAGAGAUGACGUCAGACAAAGGAAGAAAGCGAGGUUUACAGAAAGGAGACACGAUGAAGAUUAAGAAACCAAACUAAAGCUGGUGACCCAGAAGCAUUUUUAAAUUGCAAGAGAGGGUGGGACGCGGGCUGAGGAAAUAUUGGGGUUCAUUUUGCUUUCCAAGCUUCUUAACUUUUAAAAGUAUUUCCAGCCUUAUCAGUGAUGGUGAGAGAUUUCCCAGGUUUCCAAGAAGAAACCAAGUUAGAAACGGAACGGAGAGCUCGUGCAGAGAGAGGCAGCAGCACUCACAGCAUCGCCUGAGACAACAAUGGACAGAAUAUAUGGGGCAGAGAUAGUGUAAUCUAAGGCAAGUAGCAAUAUACAUAUAUCUGCAGUCAUGCACAUGAACGCACUCAUGUAUAUCCAUACAUACACUCCUAGCAAUUCAGUUAGAUUAAUUUGCUUUGGAUAUUCCAUUAUUUUACUGUAGUCCUUGUGUAGUACUUAAAGAAUCAGGUUAAGCAUUCUGCAUUAGAUGCACAAACAAUGCUGCUUUACCUCCGCAUGGGUGUUGUGAGACUUUAAUUAAUGUUUGUAAAGUGCUUUCAGAUCCCCAGAAGAAAGGCGCUAUAGAAGUGUGAAGUCUGAUUAUUUCAUGGCAUACAAAAGUAGAGGUGAAAAGAAAUAUUCUCCUCCUUACACACAAAACUACUGAUCUCAACUCCUGCAUUUAAAAAAGAAGAUGUUAAGAAAGAAAAGAAUUCUGACCAUGAACCUAUUUCAGGCUUCCCCUUUGCCUUUUUCAUCUGAUUUCUGGUUGAGUGAAAUAAUAAAGUAUUGUAUUGCUGUAAACUCUUUGUAAGUAGAUUUGACUAAGACAACAGAGUUCAGUGCCAGCAGCUACUCUGAUCAUUCUUUUAAAUGGAAAUUUACCGUCUGCUGCAUCACAUGGAAAAAAUAUAGAACUAUUUUUCACAGCUUGUUCACUGAACAGAUUAUUGGAGGGAAGAAAAAAUAAAAAGGCUUCAUUUUCUACAGAUCCCAAAUCUUGGUGUAGAAAGUCUUGGCAAUUUCCUUUUGAGAGGAGACAGAUUUCACUUUCGCAUUGAUUUAACAAUGAUAAGAGUUUCCAAAAUGAGGGCCCGAUUCUGAAAAUCUAAAUGGUUGGCCACGCUUGGUUCAAUAGCUUAUCUA